CCCUUAGAUGUCCGGGGCCGCACGCGCGCUACAAUGGAUGAAUCAACGCGUCAUCCUGGCCCGAAAGGGUUGGGGAACCGCUGAACCUCAUCCGUGGUUGGGAUUGGGGUUUGUAAUUAUUCCCCAUGAACUAGGAAUUCCCAGUAAGCGCGAGUCAUAAGCUCGCGUUGAUUACGUCCCUGCCCUUUGUACACACCGCCCGUCGCUACUACCGAUUGGAUGGUUUAGUGAGAUCCUCGGAUUGGUCACGGCACGGUGGCAACACUGCGUCGGUGUGCCGAGAAGACGAUCAAACUUGACCAUCUAGAGGAAGUAAAAGUCGUAACA
rnacentral:rRNA from 1 species